GAUCAAUGAGUUCACCAGCUCUCUGGGCAUCGGAGUCUUUCACUCAGGGAUUGAGAUCUAUGGAAGAGAGUUUGCCUAUGGCGGACACCCGUACCCAUUCUCAGGGAUCUUUGAGAUUACACCAGGUGAUGCAACUGAGCUUGGCGAGACCUUUAAGUU